GUUACUCGAUUUUGGGAAUAGUGUGUAAAGUUUAAUGUAUAAACAAUUUAUGUUUAUAUCUUCCGUAACAGUUGUAGAAAUAGCAAACCGGAUCCGCGGCGAUUCGGGACCCGGAUUUCGGGGACGCUACAAGUUACAUCAGGUGGACAUGAUUGAUGAUGUAGAUAUUGACACCAUUGUCUUCUUCUGAUGUGUAUUCUCAUUAUAUCUUUUGAUAGGCCUCUGUUAGCUAUUGGGUGGCUGUACCCCAUUCUCGAUAUAUCUUUUGAUAGACCUCUAUUAGUACUAGGGCGUCUAUGUCCCAUUUCCCUAUAUUUGUAGUUAUACCGAGGUGAUGUAUUAGAUGUUGAUAUACUUAGGAAUGUAUGCCUAGUUUUUCAUUCCCUAUAUCAUAUUGUCAUCUAUUAUCUGCGAUGCAUGUAUCAUGUUAUUCAUAUAUAUAUGUAUGUCCAGAGAUAUUCAGCAUUCACCCCUGGAUAGUCUUAUGACACGGUCCGUACAGAUGUCUUCUUCGACCGUUAGCCGUAUUGAUCAUACCCCACCCUCAUUGGUGGCAUCGGGUAUGCGAUCG
rnacentral:lncRNA from 1 species